CUGUCGGUUUUUUGCAGCUUGAGGUCUGAAAAAUCUGUCUUACACAUCCAUGUUUGUAGACACCCUUUCACUGCAGAAUAUAGUUAUAUAAAAGAGGUUCAAGAGGGAUGUUAGAGCAAUAUGUUUCAACACAAUUUUAAGUGGGAAAUAUUAAUUUAUAAAACACCCAUUGUUAAUCAAGGUAACAGGAUUUUUUUAAAUUAGGUAUUUAUUUCAUUUACUUUUCCAAUGCUAUCCCAGGUAACUGGAUUUUUUUAAAUAACCUGAUAUUUAAAACUUAUAACCAAACUAAAAUCCUAGACUAGUUGCUUUGUUGUUUGUUGUUUGUUUUGUUUUUUAAACAGAAAAUUGUUAAACUGAUAACCACAGGGAAGGAAAGGAAUGGAUAAGCCAUACUCAGUCAGCUAAGGGGUUGCAUGCUGGCUUGUGGUUUUCCGGAUGGGUGAUUUUCCUGGGUGUGAGUUGACAGGAAAGUGAGCUGUCUGUCGCCUAUAAAGGAAGUGACCAAAGCUGCCUUAGAUGUAGUGUAUAGCCUUACUGUGCUUAAGCUAAGGCAGUGAAAUGGCCCAGGACUAGGGAAGCUGACACAGGUUAGUGUGGUGUGGAUAGAGCCGGCUUUAAAAGUCCAGAUGCUUGGAUCUGGAGAGAUGGCUCAGCCUCUAAGAGCACAUACUGCCUUUACAGAGGAGUUUGGUUCCCAGCACCCACAUCAGGCAGCUUGCAACUGCUUAUAAUUUCACAUGCAUCCAUGUGCGCAUGCACGUGCGUGUAUACACACACACACACACACACACACACACACAGUUAAAAUAUAAUAAAUUAAUCUUUAAGAAGUCCAGAUGCUGUGUCAGGGUACUCUACCUAGUACACUAAGGAUGCUGGGUGGCUGUAGCACUUGGGCUGCACACGGUGAUCUGUGUGCUCUUCCCCAGACACUGCAGUGUUGUUGAGAAAGCUGCUCAGUGCAUCUAAGUGGCUACAAUCUGCUAGAAAUGCAUCUGCAAAUAGACUCAGCCCACACAGAAUGCAGAUUCCAGCAAUGCAGACAGGCACCUGACGCACCAGUAAUUACGAUUAAGUUGACAGACACUACGGAGAAGUAGUGGACGCUGUGGAAACGCCUGGGGACUCAGGAGAGGCAUCUUCGAGGAUGUGAUUCUCCCCAGGCAGAGGUUCCCUGUGGCCGAUAGGCGGGGUCUCCUGGGCUCAGAGAGCAGCAGGUCUCUCCUGAGGUACAGAUGUGACACGGGAAGUAGUCGCCUCAGAGACCAAUAGCACUCACAGCCCUGGCUCUAAGCUUAAUUACAAGUAAACAAAUAAAGAACUUUGUGUUCCUGUGAUCCCUGGAAUUUCAGUCUCCAUGAGGCUGGAGACCUCCGUCUGUUGUUUGCCGCCAUAGUCACCAGGGCCUAGACCUUGGUGACCCAGGAUUCUCAGGUAGAUCCUUAGUGAGACGGUCGACAGACUACAGAAAUUGGGAAAGUGACUGGGGACGGGGCUACAGUGCUUAGUCAGGCUCCAUUCUUCACAACCUUAUAGCUCACGCUCAGAAUUUUGUUUUUAGUCAAAAAAAUUGGACAGUCACUGAAAGAUUUAAAGUAUGGCAUUAAAUAGUUCUGGCUGUAGAGCAAAGAAAUACAUAGGGAAGGAAAAUGAACAGAGGGCUAAGAAGCCAUUGUCAUAGUCCAGGUGAGAGGUAGGGAGCUUAGAAUAUGAAGACAGUAGGGUUGAAGAGAGGUGGACAGAGGUGCAAGGCCUCAGGUAGAUAAGGGUGUAAGGCCUCAGGGAAACAAGGGUGCAAGGCCUCAGGUAGACAGGGGUGAGAGGCCUCAGGUAGGCAGGGGUGAGAGGCCUCAGGUAGACAGGGGUGCAAGGCCUCAGGUAGGCAGGGGUGAGAGGCCUCAGGUAGACAGGGGUGCAAGGCCUCAGGUAGGCAGGGGUGAGAGGCCUCAGGUAGGCAGGGGUGAGAGGCCUCAGGUAGGCAGGGGUGAGAGGCCUCAGGUAGGCAGGGGUGAGAGGCCUCAGGUAGACAGAGGUACACAGCCUCAGGUAGGCAGGAGUGCAUGCCUGACAUGGGACAGAGUGGUGGACUAGAUGUGAGAAGACCCCCAGGCUCACAUCUGACUUUAAAUUGUCAUUUGUUCCUUAUAACCUAGCUAUAUCCAAAUAAGAAUGCUGCUCAGCUGAGAGAGUUUAAAAAAAA